GAUGAACGCUGGCGGCGUGCCUAAUACAUGCAAGUCGAGCGAACAGACGAGGAGCUUGCUCCUCUGACGUUAGCGGCGGACGGGUGAGUAACACGUGGAUAACCUACUUAUAAGACUGGGAUAACUUCGGGAAACCGGAGCUAAUACCGGAUAAUAUAUUGAACCGCAUGGUUCAAUAGUGAAAGACGGUUUUGCUGUCACUUAUAGAUGGAUCCGCGUCGCAUUAGCUAGUUGGUAAGGUAACGGCCUACCAAGGCAACGAUGCGUAGCCGACCUGAGAGGGUGAUCCGCCACACUGGAACUGAGACACGGUCCAGACUCCUACGGGAGGCAGCAGUGGGGAAUCUUCGGCAAAGGGCGAAAGCCUGACGGAGCAACGCCGCGUGAGUGAUGAAGGUCUUCGGGUCGUAAAACUCUUUUAUUAGGGAAGAAAAAAUGUGUGAGUAACUAUGCACGUCUUGACGGUACCUAAACAAAAAGCCACGGCUAACUACGUG
rnacentral:rRNA from 1 species